UACGGAGGGGGCUAGCGUUGUUCGGAAUUACUGGGCGUAAAGCGUGCGCAGGCGGCUUUGCAAGACAGAUGUGAAAUCCCCGGGCUCAACCUGGGAACUGCAUUUGUGACUGUAGAGCUGGAGUACGGCAGAGGGGGAUGGAAUUCCGCGUGUAGCAGUGAAAUGCGUAGAUAUGCGGAGGAACACCGAUGGCGAAGGCAAUCCCCUGGGCCUGUACUGACGCUCAUGCACGAAAGCGUGGGGAGCAAACAGG
rnacentral:rRNA from 1 species